UACGUAGGUGGCAAGCGUUGUUCGGAAUUAUUGGGCGUAAAGGGCGCGUAGGCGGCCGGUUAAGUCAGCUGUGAAAGCCCGGGGCUCAACCCCGGAGGGUCGGCUGAUACUGAUCGACUAGAGUACGGAAGAGGUAGCUGGAAUUCCCGGUGUAGCGGUGAAAUGCGUAGAUAUGUGGAGGAAUACCGAUGGCGAAGGCAGCUCGCUGGGACGGUACUGACGCUGAGGCGCGAAAGCGUGGGGAGCAAACAGG
rnacentral:rRNA from 1 species